CACGCAGGCGGUCGUGUAAGUUUGAGGUUACAGCUCCCGGCUCAACUGGGAGAGCGCCUUGAAGACUGCAGGACUUGAGGGCCAGAGAGGGACACAGAAUUCCGGGUGUAGUGGUGAAAUGCGUAGAUAUCCGGAGGAAUACCAAAGGCGAAGGCAGUGUCCUGGCUGGUGACUGACGCUGAGGUGCGAAAGCUAGGGGAGCGAACGGGAUUAGAUACCCCGGUAGUCCUAGCCGUAAACGAUGACCACUAGGUGUGGGAGGUAUCGACCCCUUCCGUGCCGCAGCUAACGUGAUAAGUGGUCCGCCUGGGGAGUACGGUCGCAAGAUUAAA
rnacentral:rRNA from 1 species